GACGAACGCUGGCGGCGCGCCUAACACAUGCAAGUCGAACGGAGCUGAGAGAAGCUUGCUUUUCUUAGCUUAGUGGCGAACGGGUGAGUAACGCGUGAGUAACCUGCCCUGGAGUGGGGGACAACAGUUGGACACGACUGCUAAUACCGCAUAAGCCCACGAUCCGGCAUCGGAUUGGGGGAAAAGGAUUUAUUCGCUUCAGGAUGGACUCGCGUCCAAUUAGCUAGUUGGUGAGGUAACGGCCCACCAAGGCGACGAUUGGUAGCCGGACUGAGAGGUUGAACGGCCACAUUGGGACUGAGACACGGCCCAGACUCCUACGGGAGGCAGCAGUGGGGGAUAUUGCACAAUGGGGGAAACCCUGAUGCAGCGACGCCGCGUGGAGGAAGAAGGUGUUCGGAUUGUAAACUCCUGUCGUUAGGGACGAUAAUGACGGUACCUAACAAGAAAGCACCGGCUAACUACGUG
rnacentral:rRNA from 1 species